GGCGAUUCGGUGUGAACUGAUCACAUCCACUACUUCUAUCCUCUUUCUGUACUUUCUUUUUUCUUUUUUUUUAUCAGUUCAUGACUUCACAGUUUGUUUUACAAUACAAUGUUCACCACACUCUUAUUAGACAGUCCAUCUCAACACACAUUUUUCUCUGGAAUACCAAAGACCAUGUCAUUCAUACCUUUUGUGUUUCUUGUCUGAUUUCAGUGUGGCCUAAGCAAGACAUUUUCCGCCACAUCUCCCACCAAGUCCAUACAAUACCUCCAUGCUCCAUACCUGCUGCCAUCUCCAGACAUUAUGUGCCACAAAAAAGGAUCACAGAUGUGACAAGCAGUGUCUUUUUGUGGAGUCUCCCAGGAUUCGGCAUGGCGAGGCCCAGACUUGGCAGCACAAUCCUGAACUCACUGAGGAGCUUUUGAAGGCUUUUUUCCUGCAAUGUAUAUGGAAAGGAUGGAGACAUACCAAGGACCUGGAUGACAAGUAAUAGAACAUAACGACAUCUGUUUUCAUGAGGAAAUAAGAGACACAAAGCAAGAUGGAGUCACUCUUCACACAAGUGGAGCGAGAGCCAUGAAGACUUACUCAAGAAAAGUUCACCGUGUACAGACCCAUUCUUUAAAGAGGACACACGCGAGGUCUGACACAUACACUUGUCACCUCCUUGAACAGACUUUUGUGAAAGGCAAAGAAGGUUUAGAGCCAGAAACAUUUGUUACUUCCAGUCGAUUUGUCACUUCCAGUCAAACUGAUAAUUACAGACAGUCAUGCUAAUUAAAACUUGCCUGGGCAGUUGCAUAAAAAACAGAUUACAGACAAACGGCUGGUGUCACUGCAGUAUUCACACUCUUCUCUCUCUCCCGUGCACUCCUUUCUUUUCCUUCCUCUCCUCCUCCUGCUGCUGCUGCUGCUGCUGCAAGGCUGGCCUGUUCAAAAGGACUUGACAUUAUCACUGUUUGCACAAGCAAUAUGAAUACAAAUAAAGAAAGCAAAAGUGAGUAGUUGUUUACUUUAUUUGACCUGACUUUCUGACAGUACAGUAAAUGCCAACAGCAAUUUCAGGGACAAUUUAAAACUGGGAUUCAAUAGAACAUGUGUCAUCUAAAGCCUCAGCUCUCU
ensembl:lncRNA